UACGUAGGGUGCGAGCGUUGUCCGGAAUUAUUGGGCGUAAAGAGCUCGUAGGUGGUCUGUCGCGUCGAUCGUGAAAACUUGGGGCUCAACUGCAGGCUGGCGGUCGAUACGGGCAGGCUGGAGUUCGGUAGGGGAGACUGGAAUUCCUGGUGUAGCGGUGAAAUGCGCAGAUAUCAGGAAGAACACCCGUGGCGAAGGCGGCUCUCUGGGACGGUACUGACGCUGAGACGCGAAAGCGUGGGGAGCGAACAGG
rnacentral:rRNA from 1 species